rnacentral:rRNA from 1 species
ACGAACGCUGGCGGCAGGCCUAACACAUGCCAGUCGAGCGAGGACUUCGGUUCUAGCGGCGGACGGGUGAGUAACGCGUGGGAAUGUGCCCUUCUCUACGGAAUAGCCCUGGGAAACUGGGAGUAAUACCGUAUACGCCCUAUUGGGGAAAGAUUUAUCGGAGAAGGAUCAGCCCGCGUUGGAUUAGGUAGUUGGUGGGGUAAUGGCCUACCAAGCCGACGAUCCAUAGCUGGUUUGAGAGGAUGAUCAGCCACACUGGGACUGAGACACGGCCCAGACUCCUACGGGAGGCAGCAGUGGGGAAUCUUAGACAAUGGGGGCAACCCUGAUCUAGCCAUGCCGCGUGAGUGAUGAAGGCCUUAGGGUUGUAAAGCUCUUUCAGCUGGGAAGAUAAUGACGGUACCAGCAGAGGAAGCCCCGGCUAACUCCGU